rnacentral:rRNA from 1 species
UGUGGCUGGGGGUGAAAGGCCAAUCAAACCGGGAGAUAGCUGGUUCUCCCCGAAAGCUAUUUAGGUAGCGCCUCGUGAAUUCAUCUCCGGGGGUAGAGCACUGUUUCGGCUAGGGGGCCAUCCCGGCUUACCAACCCGAUGCAAACUGCGAAUACCGGAGAAUGUUAUCACGGGAGACACACGGCGGGUGCUAACGUCCGUCGUGAAGAGGGAAACAACCCAGACCGCCAGCUAAGGUCCCAAAGUCAUGGUUAAGUGGGAAACGAUGUGGGAAGGCCCAGACAGCCAGGAUGUUGGCUUAGAAGCAGCCAUCAUUUAAAGAAAGCGUAAUAGCUCACUGGUCGAGUCGGCCUGCGCGGAAGAUGUAACGGGGCUAAACCAUGCACCGAAGCUGCGGCAGCGACACUCAGGUGUUGUUGGGUAGGGGAGCGUUCUGUAAGCCUGUGAAGGUGGCCUGUGAGGGUUGCUGGAGGUAUCAGAAGUGCGAAUGCUGACAUAAGUAACGAUAAAGCGGGUGAAAAGCCCGCUCGCCGGAAGACCAAGGGUUCCUGUCCAACGUUAAUCGGGGCAGGGUGAGUCGACCCCUAAGGCGAGGCCGAAAGGCGUAGUCGAUGGG